rnacentral:piRNA from 1 species
GGGUGUGACAAGACAAGUGACUACUGU